rnacentral:rRNA from 1 species
UACGAAGGGAGCUAGCGUUGUUCGGAAUCACUGGGCGUAAAGCGCACGUAGGCGGAUGUGUCAGUCAGGGGUGAAAUCCCGGAGCUCAACUUCGGAACUGCCUCUGAUACAGCACGUCUUGAGUCCGAUAGAGGUGGGUGGAAUUCCUAGUGUAGAGGUGAAAUUCGUAGAUAUUAGGAAGAACACCGGUGGCGAAGGCGGCCCACUGGAUCGGUACUGACGCUGAGGUGCGAAAGCGUGGGAGCAACAGG